AACGAACGCUGGCGGCAUGCCUAACACAUGCAAGUCGAACGAGACCUUCGUGUCUAGUUGCGCACGGGUGCGUAACGCGUGGGAACCUUCCCUUAGGUUCGGAAUAACUCCCCGAAAGGGGUGCUAAUACCGGAUAAUGUCUUCGGAUCAAAGAUUUAUCGACUUUGGAUGGGCCCGCGUUGGUUUAGCUAGUUGGUAGGGUAAAAGCCUACCACGGCGACGAUCCAUAGCUGGUCUGAGAGGAUGAUCAGCCACACUGGGACUGAGAAACGGCCCAGACUCCUACGGGAGGCAGCAGUGGGGAAUAUUGGACAAUGGGCGAAAGCAUGAUGCAGCAAUGCCGCGUGAGUGAUGAAGGCCUUAGGGUUGUAAAGCUCUUUUACCCGGGAUGAUAAUGACAGUACCGGGAGAAUAAGCACCGGCUAACUCCGUG
rnacentral:rRNA from 1 species